GACGAACGCUGGCGGCGUGCUUAACACAUGCAAGUCGAACGGGCCCGCCCCUGUUUUUGGGGGUGGGUUGAGUGGCGAACGGGUGAGUAUCACGUGAGUAACCUGCCCCCUGCUCCUGGAUAACUGCUUGAAAGGGCGGCUAAUACGGGGUGUGCCGGCUGGUCCGCAUGGGCCUGGUCGGGAUAGUUUCAUCUUCGGGUGUUUCGGUGGGGGAUGGGCUCGCGGCCUAUCAGCUUGUUGGUGGGGUGAUGGCCCACCAAGGCGGUGACGGGUAGCCGGCCUGAGAGGGUGGGCGGCCACACUGGGACUGAGACACGGCCCAGACUCCUGCGGGAGGCAGCAGUGGGGGGUAUUGCACAAUGGGCGGAAGCCUGAUGCAGCGACGCCGCGUGAGGGAUGGAGGCCUUCGGGUUGUGAACCUCUUUCUCCGGUGGUGAAGGCCCUGUCCGUUGCGGCGGGGUUGACGGUAGCCGGGUAUGAAGCGCCGGCUAACUACGUG
rnacentral:rRNA from 1 species